UACGGGGGGGGCAAGCGUUGUUCGGAAUUACUGGGCAUAAAGGGCUCGUAGGCGGCCAACUAAGUCGGAUGUGAAAUCCCCCGGCUUAACCUGGGAACUGCGUCUGAUACUGGGAGGCUUGAGUAUGGGAGAGGGAUGUAGAAUUCCAGGUGUAGCGGUGAAAUUCGUAGAUAUCGGGAGGAACACCAGUGGCGAAGGCGGCUCUCUGGACAGGCACUGACACUGAGACGCGAAAGCGUGGGGAGCAAACAGG
rnacentral:rRNA from 1 species